UACGUAGGGGGCAAGCGUUGUCCGGAAUCAUUGGGCGUAAAGAGCGUGUAGGCGGCUCGAUAAGUCUGCUGUGAAAGUCCAGGGCUCAACCCUGGAAGGCCGGUGGAAACUGUCGGGCUUGAGUGUGGGAGAGGGAUGCGGAAUUCCAGGUGUAGCGGUGAAAUGCGUAGAUAUCUGGAGGAACACCGGUGGCGAAGGCGGCAUCCUGGACCACGACUGACGCUGAGGAGCGAAAGCCAGGGGAGCAAACGGG
rnacentral:rRNA from 1 species